rnacentral:rRNA from 1 species
UACGUAGGGUGCGAGCGUUAAUCGGAAUUACUGGGCGUAAAGUGUGCGCAGGCGGCCGCGCAAGUCGAGUGUGAAAGCCCCGGGCUUAACUUGGGAAUUGCGCUCGAAACUACGUGGCUGGAGUGUGGCAGAGGAAGGUGGAAUUCCAGGUGUAGCGGUGAAAUGCGUAGAGAUCAUGAGGAAGACCAGUGGCGAAGGCGGGUCUCUGGACAGUUCCUGACACUGAGGCACGAAGGCCAGGGGAGCAAACGGG